CAGCUCCGGCCUCCUCCCAGGUCCGCUUGGCUGCUUGGAGCAGGGAGAAGCCAGGGACGUGGUUCAGCACCUUCAAACGGGGCCAGAAGGAUCGGCGUGGCCGGGAGCAGACGGUGCUGGAAGUGGCCUCAUCCUGCUUGGAGCUGUUCCCUCUGCUGGAUGUGGCCGUGCCUGACUUCGGAGGCACCAACCAGAAGUUCGGCUUCCAACUGGGCCCUGUCUGCUUCCGGGGCUGAUGCGCACGGGAUGGGAUGGGAUGGGAUGGGACCGGGAAUGCUGAUCCAGGGAAUACUCAGGACUCGGAGCUGCCCCUUCUGACCCUUAUUUAUACAGAGGGGGUUCAAGACACCCCCUUUCCCCAUGGUGCUACAACGCUCCCAUAGUGAAGCACUGGAUGUGCCCUCGGUGAAGCCCAUCCCGGUAUUCCCGAAGAUGGGAUGGGUUGAACCUCCUCGUGCUGGGGGAUGGGAAAUGGGGGGACACCCCUCCCCCCCCCCCCCGGUUGAUAUCCGAUAAACCUGUAUCCAAGUG
rnacentral:lncRNA from 14 species